rnacentral:rRNA from 1 species
CGGACGGGUGAGUAACACGUGGAUAACCUACCUAUAAGACUGGGAUAACUUCGGGAAACCGGAGCUAAUACUGGAUAAUAUAUUGAACCGCAUGGUUCAAUAGUGAAAGACGGUUUUGCUGUCACUUAUAGAUGGAUCCGCGCCGCAUUAGCUAGUUGGUAAGGUAACGGCUUACCAAGGCAACGAUGCGUAGCCGACCUGAUAGGGUGAUCGGCCACACUGGAACUGAGACACGGUCCAG